rnacentral:lncRNA from 1 species
UUUAAAAUUAAAGUGAACUAUUUAACAAAAGCUCUACAACUAUGUAGUAACAAAUUUUGUGACAAGUAGAUGAAUAAUUACUGAUGAACAAGAAGGAAAUAUAAGGAGAUGCAUGAAACCGUAAUAAUACGGCAUGGGCAUUUGGGAACCACUUUUAUUUUGCGUGAUAUUACGGCAUGGACAUAAAGCAAUCACUUCAAGUUUGCAUUAUAUUAUGGUCGCAGUGAUUCAUCACAUCUGUCAGGUUAACGUAACUGGACCUCUCCGUUGGUCAGUUUUUGCGAUCAUUGUGUUGCAAAAGUUAUUAUAAAAAUAUUCUUGAUAGCUGCCACACCACGCGUACCCUCACCAAUUUCACGAGAUCUCUAAGAAUGUUGGAGUUGUAUUGACUAGCAUGACGUAGAGUGCAGGCGAUGCAAUCUGUUUCAAGGACACGCCCUUGAAGAGUGGCGUUUAUGCAGGUCUCGAGCUCUCCAAAACGUCAUUGGUGAUCGCAGUUCAUUUCGUAGGAGAAGGAUCACCAUUUAUUCACUACAUCAAUUUGGUUAUAAUGGCAAUAAAAUUUUUUCUUCUUCUUACACCCAUGAUAUUUAGUGCUUUGUUAGAUUUAUAUUAUAUAUUUUUAAUAUUAACUAUAUGCACAUAUCUUGCUGUUACACAGGUAGUAAUCAGUUUUUAAUUUAUUUUUGUUGUGUUAAGAUUAUGUGUUAUGCGACAUUUAUAAACUACAUUUUUUUACAUAUACGUAUUGACACUGUAGGUUAGUGGAUUAAUGUGCUGUGUUAGGAACGGAAGGCUCUGAGUUUGAACCAUGAAGGAGUCGUAUAUUCUAUUUUUAUUAUAUUCGAACCAAAUAUUAUUAUUUAUCUUACUAUUUUAUUUAUUAUUUAACUCAACUGUUUUAUGUUGUACGAUAUUUUAAGUCACGCGAGUCAUUAUUACACCAGCGGAUUUAUAAAGACUUGCUAACUCAUACGUUGUGUUAUAUCAUUUGCUAAGGAUAGCUAGAGGGCAUAUGUUAUGGCUCCCCUCUCACCUAUUGAUGAAAUUUUAUUCCUGCUACUAAAUAGUCUUUACAUUUAUUAUGGUGAUUUUUACCCAAUAACAUUAUCUACAACCUGAAUCUAUUAUCACAUCUCAAGGUCUAACUGGACGGUUCUGUUCGUCACUUUUUACAAUCAUCGUGUCCCAUAAACAGUUAUAAUUUGUUGCUGGUGACCCUUGUCUUCUUCCAAUAAACACCACAAAGACAAAACAAACAUUAGGAUUUCCCGCUGGAUGUGGUUAAGGCGCUCAGAAACCUAGUGACUACGCUGACAUUUACGCAAACGUUCAUUCGGAAGCUCCACAACGCACGUCAGACCAGGGCUUGCUGACUAUGUGCUCGGCUCUAAAAUCUCACUUCACAGCACAUAAUUU